UGACUAAUGUCAUGUAGUUUCCAUAAUCAAGGUUUCCCAGGGUGAGGCCUAUCCCUUGCACUCUGGGCAGGCUGACCCCUGUGAGUUUCCCAAACGUGAGAAAUUUGACUAUCCAAUGUUGUGGUAAUGGGGGACUGUGUUUGUACAUUCUCCCU
rnacentral:snRNA from 1 species